UCGAUCCCCUGUUCCGCCGCCGCCCGACCCGAGCGCUGGCUGCUGGCCGCAUCGCGGCCACAGGGAGGCUGUGCCGCCGCCGCUUGAGUCCACACUCAGCGUUGCAUCCGCUCGAUUCCAUACCUCCACCGGCCGCUCUAGUCCACAGCCCACGCCGCCUCCUAUAGCCGCUCGAAUCCACUCGUCCGCCGUCCGUAGGAGCUGUCGCUGGAGUCCACGGACGGGAGACUGGGAGACGGCGGAAGAGCAGGAUUUCGCCUCCGCCGACCAUUACUUGGACGCUGGUUCUCCACAAUCUGGUGGCGGGCGCCGCUAGAGCUUCAGAACUCGCUGUUGUGCCUCUUUUUCAAUUUUUUAUUUAAAGGAACACACGACUCAUUUCAUAGUAGUACUGGGUAUAUUGCUAGAUCAUAAUGUUCAGAAUUUCAUUGCCGUCGUCAGAUGCGUUGAGUCAGUUUAAAACUUCACAAAGUGUCAAUCGUGUCAAACAAUAAACAAUAUACAUAGUUCGAACAAAACCUUCACACAGUGCCAAUCGUGUUUUCCAUAACUUGUGAAAAAUUAAGCUGACACAUUACUUGAGCUGUCAAAGGCAUAGUUGUAAGGUUUCAUCCUUGUACUCUGCACUAACAAGAAAAUCAUACGAGGUUUGAAUUAUCCGGCACAUUACUUGAGCAAAAAAGAUAAGUUGACAGCACUCACUCUGAAUGUUCAGCAGUGAGUAAGCUCAGUUUACCUAGAUAUUCAAUCAAAGGUGCCUUCCAUUUGCCUUGUUGUGCUUUUAGAGCUGCAAGUGAAAUCUUGCAUUUGGAGCGUAGUCACAACGCAUACUGUAGAAUAUGAUGUCCACUUUGGCUUAGCUCAGUAUUAUAAACUCGCUGUUGGAAAGUAACGAUGGUUCAAUGCAAUUUCAACUGUUUUAGCACUAUAAUAAAUUCACUAAUGAUAUUUGCUACUUUAACAUGGAGGCGGUGGAUCUAACAACUAUGAAAAAGUUAUUGUGUUCUCCUAGACCAAGUGCAGACUAUUUGGCUGGCGUAGAUGGUUUUCUUGCUUUUGCAUACACUGGAAAAAGUUCGGAUGCCAAGAUCCAUUGUCCAUGCGUCAAAUGUGUCAAUAGGAACUUGUUGAAGCGGGACACCGUAUAUGAUCAUUUGGUGUGUGAUGGAAUGCUACUUGGAUACGCUGUUUGGGGUUGUCAUGGUGAAACUGCAGGAUACAUCUCCUCUAACAAACAAAAAAGGUCAAAACAGGAAGGCAUAAACUCUAAUAUGCGCCAGCUAGUACAUGAUGUUUUCGGGAACAUAUAUAAUGGGUCUCAAGUGAAUGACUUUGAUGACCCAAACCCUCCACAACAUAGGCCAGAUCCUGAAACCCAAGCCUUUUAUGACUUGAUGAGAGAAGCAGAUGUACCUUUGUGGAAAAGGAUAUUAGAUUGCUCGCCCUGGGCCCAGUUAAUGCAGCCAAAAGAUAUUGCGCUUUCAACUCCCGAGGCUACCAUUUUAGGCCUAAACGCUUGGAUAAAGAGACACAAAAUAGUGGAGUCAUGGUAACUGCAAAAACUUCUAGUUAUGAUUCAGCACAUGAUGCCAAUCCUGUUUUACGUGAUGUGACGUACUACGGGAGGGUAAUUGAUAUUGUCGAGCUAAACUACUCUGGACAGUUUUCAGUGGUGUUGUUUAAAUGUGAAUGGGUUAAUGUGUUCUCAGGAACAGGAAUGAAAAAGACAAGUACGGUUACACACUUGUCAACUUCUCACAUCUAAUACACAAAGGAGAAAAGAUUGAGCAUGAGCCUUUUAUUUUCCCUAACCAGGCGAAUCAAGUGUUCUAUGUGGAAGAUGAAUUGAAUCCAGCUUGAAGAGAGUUUGAAAAGAAAGAACAAUGAACAACAUUGGGUUAGAAGAGACGUUGAGGGGACAAUAGUGGAUGCUAAUAAUGCUUCGAGCAACGAAGAAUAGUUGAGGUUCAAACUGGAUGCUACAUGGAGGCAUGGAGGGGGUGGUCGACUGUGUGCUUUGUGUUGGUACAAAAUAGCCUACUUUUUUUUGUUUGCUGGCUUUCUGCUGACUACUUGACCAACUUGCUUGGUCAUAUACUGCUGUGUGAGACCAUGUCUUGGUCAAAACUUAGUAUACUCUUAUAUUCAUGCUUGGUAAUUCGGUCAGCUGCGACACCACGUGCUUGCUUGGAAAACAUUUUGUACUUUGGUCAACAACAGUUCAGAAUUGAGAUAUAAGCAGCUUG